UACGGAGGGUGCAAGCGUUGUCCGGAAUCACUGGGCGUAAAGGGCGCGUAGGCGGCUCAUGAAGGCUGUGGUGAAAGUCCGGGGCUCAACCCCGAGUCGGCCGUCGAUACUCCCGUGCUGGAGCACUGUAGAGGCAGGUGGAAUUCCGGGUGUAGCGGUGGAAUGCGUAGAGAUCCGGAAGAACACCGGUGGCGAAGGCGGCCUGCUGGGCAGUAGCUGACGCUGAUGCGCGACAGCGUGGGGAGCAAACAGG
rnacentral:rRNA from 1 species